AUUGAACGCUGGCGGAAUGCUUUACACAUGCAAGUCGAACGGUAGAGGGGGCAACCCCUCGAGAGUGGCGAACGGGUGAGUAAUAUAUCGGAACGUGCCCAGUCGUGGGGGAUAACGUAGCGAAAGUUACGCUAAUACCGCAUACGAUCUACGGAUGAAAGCGGGGGACUCGCAAGAGCCUCGCGCGAUUGGAGCGGCCGAUAUCAGAUUAGGUAGUUGGUGGGGUAAAGGCUCACCAAGCCAACGAUCUGUAGCUGGUCUGAGAGGACGACCAGCCACACUGGAACUGAGACACGGUCCAGACUCCUACGGGAGGCAGCAGUGGGGAAUUUUGGACAAUGGACGCAAGUCUGAUCCAGCCAUUCCGCGUGCAGGAUGAAGGCCCUCGGGUUGUAAACUGCUUUUGUACGGAACGAAAAGGUUUCUCUUAAUACGAGGAGCUCAUGACGGUACCGUAAGAAUAAGCACCGGCUAACUACGUG
rnacentral:rRNA from 1 species